rnacentral:rRNA from 1 species
AUGGCCGGCCACCGCAACUCUUCCUCUCGCCCCGAUAGUGCCAAGCCAGGUGAUUGGGAGAAGAGUAGCGUGUCCCAUGGCCAAUUGGUGAAGUUGCAGACCCAGGGGUUUCUUCCACCUGCAUAUCUUGUCCAUGUUCGAGCCGGAUUAGCCACCUUUGACGGCGGGGAGCAAGCGGAGAGUUUUCCCAAUCCAUCUAGGGGGGAGCGAGUGUGCCUUGUCCCUUACUUGGUGAGGGGCAUCGGAUUUCCAAUCCAUCCAUUCCUUCGCGGGCUCCUAGAGUACUAUGGCCUCCAGCUGCACAAUUUCACCCCUGCCUCCAUCCUACACACCGCAGGUUAUGUCGCCCUUUGCGAGUUGUUUCUGGGUUGCGAAGCUCAUUUCGAGCUAUGGAAGAGGUUGUUUUGCCUCGUCCCUCGCAAUCAAGAGGGAUCAAUAUUCCAAGUGUGCGAAGCCGAAAUAUGGCGCAUCGCCGGGACCGAAUACCUGUCCGGCACUCCGAAGAAGACAUCCGAAGAUUGUCCUUUCGAGUGGUUUUAUAUAGAGGACGUCUCCCUUCCUGACCCUAUCCGGAUGUUCUUGCCGAGUUUACAAAUGCUCCGUUGA